UAUCUUCAGGGCAGGGUGAAAUUCCCGACCGGCGGUUAAAGUCCGCGAGCCAUUUUGGUGGUUGAAUUGGUGUAAUUCCAAUACCGACAGUAAAGUCUGGAUGGGAGAGGAUA
rnacentral:ncRNA from 1 species